rnacentral:lncRNA from 1 species
GUGACCACGCGAAGUGAAAAGUCUGUUGCGAAAGCAAGCUAACCUGGAGGCUACGGCGAGCAAUUUUGAAUUUUACUACCGGGAAGCUACCGCAUACGAUUUGCAAUUUUGAAUCCUACUUCUACCGGUUGACUGAAGUGCUUUCAAUUUUGCCACCUUAGAACUUUAGUUUCCUCAUCUGAAAAGAAGGGAUAAUCACCUAUCUAGAAUUCACGGUGUUAAUCGGAUGCACAUCCUUUUCUAAUUGUAUAUUUUCCAAAUACUUUUUAAUACAUUUUAACCACCACCACUGCCCUCACCGCCUCCACCCGCACCACUGAAAAGCAUGUCUACGGAUUUGCGAGACGCACUGAGUAGAGGCUCUUGCCGCCAAAUCUGACCACCCAAGUUCGAUUCCCCAUACACAAGGUCAUGGAUGGAAGAAGACUGAUUCCUGCAAGUUGUCCUUUGAUCCCCAACAUGCGCACUUGUCACGCGCCCCCUCCCCCAAAUAAAUAAAU